rnacentral:misc_RNA from 1 species
UGAAUAGAACGGAGUGCUGUAAGCAGUAGAGUAGCCUUGUUGCUACGAUCUGCUGAGGCUCAGCUUUUGUUCUACAGAUUUGUCCUUUUGGACUCUCUAUGCUUGGCAUGGACUGGGGGGCGACUCCAGCAUUCUAAUCAUAGACAGUUUAACGAGACAAGUAGUAGGUGCAGUAGAGAAGUAGGUAGAUCAAGAACGAAGGCUAUGGGAUCAAAAACGGAGGAGGCAGCAGCUAGAGAGUUGGACCUUGGGUGAAAUUCUCAAAGUUGCAAGUCGGAAGGAUGGACUGGGGGAGACAAGGGGUCUCUAGCAGGGCGGUUGCGGACUUGGACGGGCCAGCUUGAAGAGAGCAAGGUCUAGAGGGAGCAAGACGUGGGUGAGUGAGGCUGGGGGCUGAGUGACAAGUCAAGAGUUGAGAGCUGGCAGGCCUGGGACUGUACCGGUGAGCAUGCUAGGUGCUGCAAAGACCAAGUAUGAGUGCUGGUGAGACCAAGUCUGCCAGCUGUCUUGUGUGUCGUUCCAGGAGGGACUGGCUUAUAGGGGCUGUUCUGACAUACUGUCAUCUACGGCCAUAGGAUCCAGAAAAUACCGCAUCCCGUCCGA